rnacentral:misc_RNA from 1 species
CACAAGUGCGCAGUUAUUUCCCAGACUGGUCGAAACAAUUCGUCCAAUCAGCUUUAUAUUGCGCGUGCUGCAAAGAUCUGAAAACAAACAAGAGAAAAUGUCCAACGAUAUUCCCAUGGUUGAUCUAGCUGAUAUAGGAUUGCAUCAUUUGGAUAAACCGCGGGAAAGUACCGUUGAUCGAGUAGCCAACGAACUGGAUUCAGCUUUUUCUACCGUUGGAUUUGUUUACCUGAAGAACCACGGCGUCGAACAACAAACGAUUGAUAAUGUAUUUCAAGCUUCCAAAUCGUUUUUUCAAUUACCGGAUGCCAUAAAAGACGUUUACAGAUGUGGUAAGCCUGACAGUGAAUCUGACGGAUACACAGGGAAGGACCAAGAAAUUUUGGAUGUCAGCAGUCUGCAUGAAAUAAGAGAGUCAUACGAUGUUGCUUCACCUGACGGAAUUUAUCCGGAUCAACACGCUCCUGAAUUCCGUAAAGCCAUUAACAAAUUGGCUCCGCAGUUGAGUGAACUCACGACCCGACUUUUAAAAUGCAUGGCUCUUGCCUUAGAUUUGGAGGAGGAUUUCUUUAGUAGCCGUCAUCAGUUCAUGUUCCACGGAGCAGAAAGGAAUCGGACAAUAUUCAGGUCGCUUUACUACCCCACGUUAUCCGACACGGACAUCCAGCCCGGGGUAGUAAGGUGUGGUGCGCAUUCCGAUUAUGGAGCCAUUACUCUUCUUCUCCAAGACGAUAUGGGUGGACUAGAAGUAUUAUCGAAGGGAGAAUGGAUACCUGCCACUCCUAUUCGAGGCACAAUUUUAGUCAAUCUGGGAGAUCUCAUGCAGUUUUGGACGUCUGAUCGUUACGUUGCCACAGUCCAUCGCGUUCUCGUCCCAGAAGAAGAAGUUCGACGUCGUUCCACUCGCCAAUCCAUCGCCUUUUUCGUACAUGCUGAUAACGGUGUAAUGAUUUCACCGAUAGAUGGAUCUGAGAAACAUAUUCCUGUAGAAGCUUUGGCCUACUUGAAAUCUCGCAUAUCUGCUACAUACAAAUGAUUCGCGAAUCUCUAACCCUUCGAAAAUUCGGCUACAAACUAUUUUAGGACAAUCAAGGAAGAAGCACCCAGAAGCAAUCAAUAAAAAAAUACUGUACUUCAAUUGUUUUCCUUUGGGUGCUCGUUUGGCAACGGGCUACAAGCUUUGGCUGAAGCCUGAAGGUAGUGGUAUAAGGCAUUCACUUCUGCAAUUUAAGAAGCACAGACAAAAAUGGCUUCCGUUUUGGGAAAAGUUGUUUCUCGUGGAAUUUCCACAACCCGAGUCGCUUCUGGCCAAGCUGCAGUUUCGGGCCAU